GAUGAACGCUGGCGGCGUGCCUAAUACAUACAAGUCGAGCGAACAGACGAGGAGCUUGCUCCUCUGACGUUAGCGGCGGACGGGUGAGUAACACGUGGAUAACCUACCUAUAAGACUGGGAUAACUUCGGGAAACCGGAGCUAAUACCGGAUAAUAUAUUGAACCGCAUGGUUCAAUAGUGAAAGACGGUUUUGCUGUCACUUAUAGAUGGAUCCGCGCCGCAUUAGCUAGUUGGUAAGGUAACGGCUUACCAAGGCAACGAUGCGUAGCCGACCUGAGAGGGUGAUCGGCCACACUGGAACUGAGACACGGUCCAGACUCCUACGGGAGGCAGCAGUAGGGAAUCUUCCGCAAUGGGCGAAAGCCUGACGGAGCAACGCCGCGUGGGUGAUGAAGGUCUUCGGAUCGUAAAACUCUGUUAUUAGGGAAGAACAAAUGUGUAAGUAACUAUGCACGUCUUGACGGUACCUAAUCAGAAAGCCACGGCUAACUACGUG
rnacentral:rRNA from 1 species